ACCACAUCACAUUGAAACACCAGUUCUCUUAUAAUCACUGAAGUUAAGCAAUGUUGAGCCUGGUCAGUACCUAGAUGGUUGACUGUUUAGGAAUACCUGAUGCUGUAA